UACGGAGGAUCCAAGCGUUAUCCGGAUUUAUUGGGUUUAAAGGGUGCGUAGGUGCGCUGAUAAGUCAGAGGUGAAAGCUAGCAGCUUAACUGUUAAAUUGCCUUUGAUACUGUUAUUCUUGAGUGUAGUUGGCGUUGGCGGAAUGUGACAUGUAGCGGUGAAAUGCGUAGAUAUGUCACAGAACACCGAUCGCGAAGGCAGCUAACGAAGCUAUCACUGACACUGAUGCACGAAAGCGUGGGGAGCAAACAGG
rnacentral:rRNA from 1 species